rnacentral:rRNA from 1 species
GACGAACGCUGGCGGCGUGCCUAAUACAUGCAAGUAGAACGCUGAAGGAGGAGCUUGCUUCUCUGGAUGAGUUGCGAACGGGUGAGUAACGCGUAGGUAACCUGCCUGGUAGCGGGGGAUAACUAUUGGAAACGAUAGCUAAUACCGCAUAAUAUUGACUAUUACAUGAUAGUCAGUUGAAAGGUGCAACUGCACCACUACCAGAUGGACCUGCGUUGUAUUAGCUAGUUGGUGGGGUAACGGCUCACCAAGGCGACGAUACAUAGCCGACCUGAGAGGGUGAUCGGCCACACUGGGACUGAGACACGGCCCAGACUCCUACGGGAGGCAGCAGUAGGGAAUCUUCGGCAAUGGACGGAAGUCUGACCGAGCAACGCCGCGUGAGUGAAGAAGGUUUUCGGAUCGUAAAGCUCUGUUGUAAGAGAAGAACGAGUGUGAGAGUGGAAAGCUCACACUGUGACGGUAUCUUACCAGAAAGGGACGGCUAACUACGUG